UCAAAUAAAUGUACAGAUUUUAUUUUAUCACAGAAACAUGAAAUGAUAAUCCCUAAAUGUACAUCAAACAACCCAUUCCAUAUAUUGUGCAGUAAAAGACUAAUAUGUGCUGAGAAAUAG